rnacentral:rRNA from 1 species
UACGGGGGGAGCAAGCGUUGUUCGGAUUUACUGGGCGUAAAGGGCGCGUAGGCGGCCACUGCAAGUCGGUUGUGAAAUCUCCGGGCUUAACCCGGAAAGGUCAAUCGAUACUCCCGAGCUGGAGGCAGGCAGGGGAGAUCGGAAUUCCUGGUGUAGCGGUGAAAUGCGCAGAUAUCAGGAGGAACACCGGUGGCGAAGGCGGAUCUCUGGGCCUGUCCUGACGCUCAGGCGCGAAAGCUAGGGGAGCAAACAGG